rnacentral:rRNA from 1 species
UUCCUAUAUGACUGAGUGGCGGACGGGUGAGUAACGCGUGGGGAACCUGCCCUAUACAGGGGGAUAACAGCUGGAAACAGCUGCUAAUACCGCAUAAGCGCACAGAAUCGCAUGAUUCAGUGUGAAAAGCCCUGGCAGUAUAGGAUGGUCCCGCGUCUGAUUAGCUGGUUGGUGAGGUAACGGCUCACCAAGGCGACGAUCAGUAGCCGGCUUGAGAGAGUGAACGGCCACAUUGGGACUGAGACACGGCCCAAACUCCUACGGGAGGCAGCAGUGGGGAAUAUUGCACAAUGGGGGAAACCCUGAUGCAGCGACGCCGCGUGAGUGAAGAAGUAUUUCGGUAUGUAAAGCUCUAUCAGCAGGGAAGAAAACAGACGGUACCUGACUAAGAAGCCCCGGCUAACUACGUGCCAGCAGCCGCGGUAAUACGUAGGGGGCAAGCGUUAUCCGGAAUUACUGGGUGUAAAGGGUGCGUAGGUGGCAUGGUAAGUCAGAAGUGAAAGCCCGGGGCUUAACCCCGGGACUGCUUUUGAAACUGUCAUGCUGGAGUGCAGGAGAGGUAAGCGGAAUUCCUAG